rnacentral:rRNA from 1 species
UACGUAGGCAGCAAGCGUUGUUCGGAAUUACUGGGCGUAAAGAGUGUGUAGGCGGUGCUCUAAGUUUGGUGUGAAAUCUCCCGGCUCAACUGGGAGGGUGCGCCGAAAACUGGAAUGCUUGAACGUGGGAGAGGAAAGCGGAAUUCCUGGUGUAGCGGUGAAAUGCGUAGAUAUCAGGAGGAACACCUGCGGUGUAGACGGCUUUCUGGACCAUUGUUGUCGCUGAGACACGAAAGCGUGGGUAGCAAACAGG